rfam:Trypanosoma brucei brucei strain 927/4 GTTat10.1 chromosome 10, whole genome shotgun sequence.
CGCCAGCAGCCGCCCCGGGCAGGAUGGCGCCCGUGUCCCUGGCGUGACGUCUAAUCGGUGCGGCGAGAU